CAAAGGCUGCUGGGAGGAAGUUUGAGAUCACUCUCUGUUUAGUAGAGAAGGAAGGAGAUAGAUCCUGGGGGUCUGGCCCAGAAGGCAGAGUGUACUCUGAAAAGAGCAGGGUGGUGAGCCUGUGAGAUGUGGGGUAGGAAGUAGUAGAGGGAGUAAGCAGUAAGGCUUGGGACUGAACAGAUUUUGGCUGUGUGUUGCAGGGUCCCUGGGCUGCAAUCCAAUGUAGAGGGUGGGCCCCAGUUCCCCUGCCUGCCACUGGGGGUGGAAUGGUGACCUGGAAGACUGCCCAGGUCACUGCAGGAGUGAAAGGGCCAGGGUACUGGGCAUGAGAAGGAUUGCUGAAUGCCCCUUGAACAGAAGAGACUUUGAUGGACUCUACCCUGGAAGGGAGAAACACUGAGUGACCUGGAUGGAGCACUGAGUCAUGAAGAGGCAGCAGCAGCUCUCUUUGGAUGAGAGAGGAGUCUGUGGACCAAAAGCAUGCUGUCAUUCUGGUUCUUGCAAUGUUGGGAGAGGGUGUUGGCCUCCAGGAGCUAUCCCAGAAUGGCCAUCGGGAGGUGCUAUUCCAGCAGUAAGUAGAGCGCCCCUGUCAUAUCAUGUAACCCUGUGAACGCCGUGGGAUUGCAUGAGUACAGUUAAGGGUUAAAUUUGGUUAAUAAUUUUAGCUGUCUCCAGAAAAUGAGGUUUAUUUUCCAUUGCACACUAGCAAAUCCUGUUAGUGAAACAAGCCUGACUAGUUUAACUAAAAACUAAGUUGGAAAAAUAUUCCUUUUAUUCUAAACCUGGUUUCACAGAUUAUAGAGCAUAUAGCUAGGGCCAGUCUGGAUAAUUGUAGUUUUAGCCCCUAGACAAGUAACAUCAUGAACAGCUGGUAAUAGUUUGCACUCUGAAGAUUCAUCAGCACUUUGCCUUGACAGCAUACUAUAAAAAUUGAAGUUAAAAGGAAUGUAAUUUCACAUCUCAUCAAAGAAAAGAAAUUUGUUAUAGUGGGUUGGGGGGGAGGAAAGGUUAUCCAUCAAACUUUCUAGGCUGAAUCACACCACAACUGGGAAUCUCUGCUGUCAUAUUUAUAGAUCAAUUCCCAUAUGUAAUAAUGCUUAGCACUUGUACAGCACUCUUUAUCUUAGCACCCUCCAUCUUCAAAGCAUUUUACGAAAGUUAACUCAUUAGUGCCUGCAGCAGUCUGACUUGAGCUAGAGAGGUUAAGUGACCUGCUCAAGGCUAGAAAGGGCUCCAUUGUCAGACCUGGGAUUGUAUCUCAGGAGGUGUUCCUGUCUCUCAGUCCUGUACUUGGAUCAUGCCACUUUCUGUGACUAUAUCUGUGAUGGGGGUGUACUCCCCACACUGGCCUUGCAAGAGCUGAAUUGGGCAAAGGGGGCAAUUAGGCUGUAAAUGGGGAAAAUUUAGGCUGGAGGAAGCUAAUUAGAAAGCAGCUUACCUGUGAGGGAACAGGUGGAGCUUCUAUAUAUCUUGGAGGUUGGAAGUAGUGUGGGAAGGCAGCAGGGAAGAAGCUGAAGUCUCCUUCUCUGAGAGAAGGAAGGGGAGAAGGAGUUCAGGGGUGAGAGUAGUGAGGUUAGUUCAGGACCUUAACUGUUAACAACAGGGCCCUGAACUGGAACCCAGACUAGAGGGUGGGCUCAGGUUCCCCUGCCAGCUACUGAGUGGCAACAUGGGGCAGUGCAGAGAAGACUGCUGGCAAGAAGAGACUGACAUCCCCUCUGGAAAAGGAAACCACAGUCACCUGGCCGGAGGGCCAAGUCACAAAGAGGAGGCUGCAGCUCUUGGAAUUAGAGAGGAGCUGCAGAGAGAGACAGAGUGCAGCCGCCAGAAGUGGCAUUGGUGUGGCAGAGCUAAUCUCCAAAAAUGCCAGGAGGCAGCGUUGUCCCGGGAUUUUCAUGGGAAGUCAAGAAAGGAAGCACCUUUCUGCAGUACCAAAGAGAGAUGAAGAGUACCAACUAGUAGCUGCAUCUUUGGAGAAUAUCACUGCAGAAGACCUGUGAGAACACAUUGCUCAGUGGCAUCUUACAUGCUAUAAGAAGUGCAACCAUAAACUGAAUUUGGCAGGGUUGGAGAGGAAGCACAUCAAGCAGAAGAAAGUUGAAAAUGCCAGACAGGCGCUAACUGCAGGCAAGACUUGCUUGAUGCUAGUUCCCUUGGUAUACAUUUUGAGAAGAGCACCUGCUUCUUCUCCGGUAAGCCUGAAAGCAUCCAUUAAGCACGGUUUCAGCACAAGACUUGUGUUUCUCACCAGACACUCAUGAAUACAGCAUUGCUAUCACAUCGAGUGCUACCCCAAGAAUGUAUGUAAUGUGUCGCAUCAAAAGGUAAAGACAACAGAAAUAAAUACUGACUUUACUACUGCAAACUGUGCAACUCAGCUGGAGCUCAUAAAUUGCCUGGCAAAGGCUCUAAUGGAUGGGAAAGUAGUGGUGAUAGCUGAUGCGCAGGUUAAGUGCAGAGAAGUAUGUGCUUUGAAUGAGAUUGAAGAGGAACAAAUGCUUAACAGAAAGGCUUUUAAAGUACUUUUAUGAUGAUGAAUUAUGGCAUAUGGAUGUAGUUUUUAUCAAUCCUAUCUGCAGAAAUUAAUCAAACACAUUCUUAAAAGCUGCAAAAGACCUGGAACUAUCAAAAGUGUGGGGGGGAAGCACUGAUAACAGUAAUAUGAAAACUCUUUGCAAUGCCUAAAUUUUCAUGGAAAAGAGUUUUUGUCCUGCAGUAUGUGGGCAUUUCAGGGAUCAGUAGUUGAUGCCAAAUCUGGGGGGAAUACCAUGUGACCUGUACUACUACUUUUAUUGGUGCAGUGGUGGUCAUAGCGACUUCAGCACCAGCAAGUGUGACCAUAAGGAAAUGAAAGGGCCAGCCUCAACCAAAGGGGUUGGUUUUCCUUGUCCCCUCAGGUGAAGGACAACUUGGGGGGUUAAUUUCCCCUCUCUUUAUAGUCCAGUAAACUUUCGAUACAUAUCCUCAGAUGAAGUUCCUUCCCCUUGCUGGUUGUGGAUGCCAUGGUGUCUGGUAUAGCCUCCAUGUUGCCUUCUCCCAUGCUGGUAACUUUUACAAGGCAAAUGAUCUCUUCCCACUGCAACCUACAGUACAAAUAAAUAGCGCAUUGAAUUUGGCCACAUCUGGCCUGAGAUCUGCCUCUUUUUCCUUUGGCUGGAGAAAACCUGUUUAUCAACUCCCCCAAUGUGCCUAGUUUAAACACCUUGUAGUCACAGACUUUUAAAGCAUAAUAUCCGUGAGUAUCCCUAAUUCCACAUACAGCUUUGUCACAAAUAUUUCACAAAGAUAUUAGUGACCAGUGUUUGGUUUUCAAGUGAUACUACACAAGGCAUAUACAUCUGUACAAAUAUUAUUGCAGCAGAGUAUAGGCUGUGAUACAGGGAUGCCUCUGCAAAUGUUUGGCCAACAGCCUGCUUAGUACAGAGAUGUGCAAGUGUGGCACAGCUAAGGAGCAGCGUGACAAUGGAUCUAGCUUAGAUCAAGAUGAGAGACACACAUGGUGGCUUUGAAUAAAUGUCUUCAGUCCUACAUGUCAAGGCUAAUUUCCUUAGGAUAAAAAACACUAACAUUGCUCUUAAUUUAAUGUAACCAAUGCAUGCUUGUG